AAUGAUGAGGAGGGAGCGAAUGAAACGGUUUGUCAUUCUCAAUAAUGCAAAUGAAUUUGGUUUUGUAACAUAUAUUCUAGGAUAUUAGGAAACUAAAUAUAAAUAACUAGCAGGAAAGAAGCUAUCCUCGACCUCUUCUUAAAAGAGGAAGAGACGGAAUACUUAGAAGUGAAGGAAAAUUAAAACAA
rnacentral:sRNA from 1 species